GCCUAUGGCCAUGCCACCCUGAACACGUCUGAUUCCAUCUGAUCUUGGAAGCUAAGCAGGGUCGGGCCUGGUUAGUACUUGGAUGGGAGACCACCUAGGAAGACCAGGUGCCGUAGGCG
rnacentral:rRNA from 1 species